rnacentral:rRNA from 1 species
UACGAAGGGUGCAAGCGUUACUCGGAAUUACUGGGCGUAAAGCGUGCGUAGGUGGUUCGUUAAGUCUGUCGUGAAAGCCCCGGGCUCAACCUGGGAACUGCAAUGGAAACUGGCGGGCUUGAGUGUGGCAGAGGGGGGUGGAAUUCCGCGUGUAGCAGUGAAAUGCGUAGAGAUGCGGAGGAACACCGAUGGCGAAGGCAGCCCCCUGGGCCAACACUGACGCUCAGGCACGAAAGCGUGGGGAGCAAACAGG